CAGUUGAUAGCUCAGUUGGUAGAGAGGAGGAGUAGCAGCUAUCCUUAGGUCACUGGUUCGAAUCCGGCUCGACGGA
rnacentral:tRNA from 1 species